GACAGAGGGUGCAAACGUUGUUCGGAAUUACUGGGCGUAAAGCGCGUGUAGGCGGCUGUGCAAGUCGGGUGUGAAAGCCCUGGGCUCAACCUAGGAAGUGCGCUCGAAACUGCAGAGCUUGAGUUCUGGAGAGGAAGGCGGAAUUCUCGGUGUAGAGGUGAAAUUCGUAGAUAUCGAGAGGAACACCGGUGGCGAAGGCGGCCUUCUGGACAGCAACUGACGCUGAGACGCGAAAGCAUGGGGAGCAAACAGG
rnacentral:rRNA from 1 species